rnacentral:rRNA from 1 species
UACGGAGGGUGCAAGCGUUAAUCGGAAUUACUGGGCGUAAAGCGCGCGUAGGUGGCUUGAUAAGCCGGUUGUGAAAGCCCCGGGCUCAACCUGGGAACGGCAUCCGGAACUGUCAGGCUAGAGUGCAGGAGAGGAAGGUAGAAUUCCCGGUGUAGCGGUGAAAUGCGUAGAGAUCGGGAGGAAUACCAGUGGCGAAGGCGGCCAUCUGGCUGAUAACUGACGCUGAGGUGCGAGAGCGUGGGGAGCAAACAGG